AGGGGCUUAUUUUUUCUAUUACUAUAAAAGGAGGACUUUAAGGAGUGAUGUUUUUGGAAACAGUAACAGAAAAAGACAAACAUUGUACUGUCUGGACGAGGAAGAGGAAGAGCAAGGGGCCCAGGGAGAAGACCAGGUCCAGUGAGAGAUGCAGAAGGAGGUGCAGUGAGAGGUGGAGGUGCAGUAAGAGGUGCAGUGAGAGGAGCAGUAAGAGGUGCAGUGAGAGGAGCAGUAAGAGGUGCAGUGAGAGGAGCAGUAAGAGGUGCAGUGAGAGGUGGAGGUGCAGUGAGAGGAGCAGUAAGAGGUGCAGUGAGAGGUGGAGGUGCAGUGAGAGGAGCAGUAAGAGGUGCAGUGAGAGGUGGAGGUGCAGUGAGAGGAGCAGUAAGAGGUGCAGUGAGAGGAGCAGUGAGAGGAGCAGUGAGAGGUGCAGGUGCAGGCCCAAGGAGAGGGCAAGGUAGAGGUGUAAGAAUG
ensembl:lncRNA